rnacentral:tRNA from 1 species
AUGCAUACCUUAGUGUUUAGUACUUGCUUUAUGGUUAAAAAAACUUAAUGGUGUUAAUACAUAUAUGCAUU